rnacentral:misc_RNA from 1 species
CACCUGCAUCCCCGCCAGCACCAAAGGGGCCAAAACUGACGCCCAGGCUCCACUGCCAGGCGGCCCCCGGGCCAGUGUGUUCGACCUGAAGGCCAUCGCCUCCCUGCUGCGGCUGCCAGACGUCCCGAGGAUCUUCCUGGUGAAGGUGGCCUCCAACUGCCCCACAGGCUGGUCUCAAACUCCUGGCCUCAAUCAGUCCUCCCUCUUCGGCCUCCCAAAGUGCUGGGAUUGCAGACGUGACUUUGAGGGCUCUUAUAACAGAGAGCCAUGGGCUCUUCAUGGUCAUGUUCUCCAUCAUCUCCAUGGACUUCUUCCAGCUGGAGGCCGCCCAAGCUGGCUACCUCAUGUCCUUCUUCGGGCUCCUCCAGAUGGUGACCCAGGGCCUGGUCAUCGGGCAGCUGAGCAGCCACUUCUCGGAGGAGGUGCUGCUCCGGGCCAGCGUGCUGGUCUUCAUCGUGGUGGGCCUGGCCAUGGCCUGGAUGUCCAGCGUCUUCCACUUCUGCCUCCUGGUGCCCGGCCUGGUGUUCAGCCUCUGCACCCUCAACGUGGUCACCGACAGCAUGCUGAUCAAGGCUGUCUCCACCUCGGACACAGGGACCAUGCUGGGCCUCUGCGCCUCUGUACAACCACUGCUCCGAACUCUGGGACCCACGGUCGGCGGCCUCCUGUACCGCAGCUUUGGCGUCCCCGUCUUCGGCCACGUGCAGGUUGCUAUCAAUACCCUUGUCCUCCUGGUCCUCUGGAGGAAACCUAUGCCCCAGAGGAAGGACAAAGUCCGGUGACCGCUGCCCAGACACAGACUGGCAAUAAACUCCUACUAAAUCCCUCCGA